rnacentral:rRNA from 1 species
UACGUAGGUGGCAAGCGUUGUCCGGAUUUAUUGGGUUUAAAGGGUGCGUAGGCGGUCUAUUAAGUCAGUUGUGAAAUACGGCAGCUCAACUGUCGAGGUGCAAUUGAUACUGAUGGACUUGAGUACUGAUGAGGUAAGCGGAAUGGACGGUGUAGCGGUGAAAUGCUUAGAUAUCGGAAGGAACAUCAGUGGCGAAGGCGACUUCCUGGACCAAUACUGACGCUCAGGUGCGAAAGCGUGGGGAGCAAACAGG